rnacentral:rRNA from 1 species
AGCAGUAGCCGCGGUAAUACGAAGGGGGCUAGCGUUGUUCGGAAUUACUGGGCGUAAAGCGCACGCAGGCGGCUCGAUAAAUUAGAAGUGAAAGCCUUGGGCUUAACCUGAGAAUUGCUUUUAAGACUGUCGAGCUAGAAUCCAGAAGAGGGUAGCGGAAUUCCGAGUGUAGAGGUGAAAUUCGUAGAUAUUCGGAAGAACACCAGUGGCGAAGGCGACUACCUGGUCUGGCAUUGACGCUCAUGUGCGAAAGCGUGGGGAGCAAACAGGAUUAGAUACCCCAGUAGUCCCUGUCUCUUAUAC